rnacentral:rRNA from 1 species
GCGGACGGCUCAGUAACACGUAGUCAACCUAACUCGUGGACGUGGAUAACCUCGGGAAACUGAGAAUAAACCACGAUAGAUCAUAGUGCCUGGAAUGGCUUAUGGUCCAAACAGUUUACUGCCAUGGGAUGGGACUGCGGCCUAUCAGCUUGUUGGUGAGGUAAUGGCCCACCAAGGCGAUUACAGGUACGGGCUCUGAGAGGAGAAGCCCGGAGAUGGGUACUGAGACACGGACCCAGGCCCUAUGGGGCGCAGCAGGCGAGAAACCUUAGCAAUGUGCGAAAGCACGACUGGGUCAGUCCGAGUGAUUCCUGAUAAAGGAGUCUUUUGCUUGUCCUAAAAGCACAGGUGAAUAAGGGGUGGGCAAGUCUGGUGUCAGCCGCCGCGGUAAUACCAGCACCUCGAGUGGUCAGGACGUUUAUUGGGCCUAAAGCAUCCGUAGCCGGCUUUGCAAGUCUUCGGUUAAAUCCACCUGCUCAACAGAUGGGCCGCUGGAGAUACUACAGAGCUAGGGAGUGGGAGAGGCAGACGGUAUUCAGUGGGUAGGGGUAAAAUCCUCUGAUCCAUUGAGGACCACCAGUGGCGAAGGCGGUCUGCCAGAACACGUUCGACGGUGAGGGAUGAAAGCUGGGGGAGCAACCGGAUUAGAUACCCGGGUAGUCCCAGCUGUAAACGAUGCAAACUCGGUGAUGCAUUGGCUUAUGGCCA